rnacentral:SRP_RNA from 1 species
GGCCGGGUCCUAUGCAAUGCCCGUUCGGAUGAACCCCGUCAGGUCCGGAAGGAAGCAGCGGUAAUCGGAACAGCAUGUCGUAGGGUGCCUGGCCACU